ensembl:lncRNA
CCUCAACAAUCUGUAAUAAUUACUUUUUUUAAUUCCAGGCAUCAGUGAAAGACUCUUCUCCCACCUCAGACAGCCCAGAGCUCUCCCUCUCCUCUGUGUGGUAUUCAGAUAUAUUUAUCAGAGUCUCCUUUCCAGUGAGAAGUCUUCCAUUAUCAGUCAAGCAUUAGAAAAGAUUUCACAGGAGAAAUCGUUAUGGAAAAGCAAGCAGUGAGAAGAAAAACAGAGGAGGAAAUGCCAAGAUUUGAAAGGAAUUUAGCACAGGCUGACUUACUGAAACAGACAUUAUAAAACAGGACAAGAAGAGAUUGUGAAAUUUAGCCAUGCUUUUUAUUUCUGGAAAAGGAUCAUCCAAGUUUUAUAUGACCACUGCCUAUGUCCUUUAAUUCCUUCACAGGUAUUCCAUCCUUUAAAACAAACAAACAACAAAUAAAUAAAAAGAUGCCUGAUAUUAAAAUGCUAGAGCCAUGUUCAGAUAUUAGGUACCUGACGGGUACCUGACCAGCUUAUGAGAUAUUCAAAAGAGAUAGGAAUUGACUGCAAGAACAGCACUUCUGAAAUACUAUUUGUUUAUUUAUAUGUGUAAAUAAGAAGUAUGAGGUCCUCUUUUGUUGUUGUUGUUAUUUGUUUUUUUUUUUUUCUUAAUUUUGGGCCUUACAUUACUCAAUGAGGAUCAAAGAGCAUAGAUAAAUUUUGCAUACAUAAAUAAAAAGGCUAAACUAUUUUAAAA